GCGUGCGCGUUGACGUGGUCGAUGUCGGUCGGCUCCAGCCCGGCCAGGUAGAUGGCGCGGCCGAUCGCCUCGGCGGCGCACUCACC
rnacentral:tRNA from 1 species